AAAGGAACUUCAACAGAGAGUCGCUCUAGAACGGGCACCAAAACAGAUACUGCCGUCAACUACGACGGGAUACCCCUCAAGCAAUGUGUUUGGCAGCUCCUGGAAAGGUAAAGAAAUAUUAGAAGCAGAGAAUUUGGAAUUCGCGAAAAAGUCUCCCGAAAGCAGAUUAUUGCCGCAACGGAACACAUAUGCACUAGGAAGAUUAGCAUUAAGCUCAAGUCAAAGUGUUCUGGCAGAGCUGCCUAGAGUGGAUUUGCAAACUUCUCCAGCGGUACCUAGUAUAUCGAAUCUUGACACCCAAAUUUUGCCUUCCGGUUGGAGCUCCAUUCAUCAAAUGCCGCUGUGGCAUAGUCUUCGAUCUGCCUUUCGAGCAUU
rnacentral:lncRNA from 1 species